UUGAAUAAACUUGGUUGGGUUGCUGCUGGCUCUCCGGAGCAUGUGCACACUCGCUCCAUCUUUAACCACCUGUGCACACACUGUAGGCCUGAAUGACCUUUUUCGAGGAAACUCGGUUUGAGAACUGCUCGGCUGUUCUUGCAUUUCAGGUCUAUGUUUUUAAACAUAUACUCCAUAGCAAGUUAUAGAAUGUUAAUUAUGGGCCUUCUGUGCCUUUAAAACCUAAUA
rnacentral:misc_RNA from 1 species